rnacentral:rRNA from 1 species
AUUGAACGCUGGCGGCAGGCUUAACACAUGCAAGUCGAGCGGAGACUUCGGUCUUAGCGGCGAACGGGUGAGUAAUACCUAGGAAUCUGCCUAUUAGUGGGGGAUAACGAAUCGAAAGGUUCGCUAAUACCGCAUACGUCCUACGGGAGAAAGGGGGGGAGUCUUCGGACCUCUCGCUAAUAGAUGAGCCUAGGCCGGAUUAGCUAGUUGGUAGGGUAAAGGCCUACCAAGGCGACGAUCUGUAGCUGGUCUGAGAGGAUGGCCAGCCACACUGGAACUGAGACACGGUCCAGACUCCUACGGGAGGCAGCAGUGGGGAAUAUUGGACAAUGGGGCGAACCCGUCGAUCCAGCCAUGCCGCGUGUGUGAAGAAGGACCUC